rnacentral:misc_RNA from 1 species
AGUCCAGAUUAUAAGGAUAACCUGUAUCAGAUAAAACUAUCAGAUGUACCAUUUGAAAUCUUCUAACCACUUGCUAGAUUGCAAAGCCAAAUGCUUGUAAACUUUAGAAAGCAUUUCUAUCAUAUAACAAGUAUGCCAAAAUAAAUUGAAAGCAACUUAAUAUGCAUCCAACUUCUUACUCUCCAAUUUCUAUGAAUAAUUAACUAGAGAAGAAAUGCCGCUUGACCCAAUUAUAGAAAAUGAUAGAGAAUUUUAGUGCAAUAUUUUUGCCAUUCAUUUUAAACACUUUCAGUAUACAGUCUGUCCAUCUACCAUAGGUAGUUCAAGCUGUAACAAAAUUGCAAAUCUCCAAGAUCAACUAGGGGUGUAAACAAUCUGAACCAAGCAAAGCGGAGUUUUUGAAGAGCUCAAGCUUGGGCCGUCAAAAUUUUUUCAAGAAGAGCCGAAUAUCAAUAAUGUCAAUCAACUCAAGCUCUACAGGUGAGUUUUAGGUUUACACUGUGUUUGUA